UUUAUUGGAGAGUUUGAUCCUGGCUCAGGAUGAACGCUGGCGGCGUGCCUAAUACAUGCAAGUCGAGCGAAUGGAUUAAGAGCUUGCUCUUAUGAAGUUAGCGGCGGACGGGUGAGUAACACGUGGGUAACCUGCCCAUAAGACUGGGAUAACUCCGGGAAACCGGGGCUAAUACCGGAUAACAUUUUGAACCGCAUGGUUCGAAAUUGAAAGGCGGCUUCGGCUGUCACUUAUGGAUGGACCCGCGUCGCAUUAGCUAGUUGGUGAGGUAACG
rnacentral:rRNA from 2 species